CAGAUUUCGUGCGUGGUGCAAGCAGUGUAUAUUUGUGAAAAGAAAGUGAAACGUCCUGAAUACUUCCCCACCACCAUGAUCACCUAUGCCUUUAUAUGGAUGUCACUCUCUUUGGCCGUAUAUGGUUACAAUGCGGACAUUGUAAUUACGACAGAGAAAUCUUACACCUUCUGUACUGAAUUCAUAUCAUUAUCUCUUCAGCAUGGUCUACGGAGGUUAAUUAAUGUCAUUAUUACUAUUAGUAUGUGCAGAAAACUCGGAAUAUUUAUUCCGUUGUUUCUAUAACCCACUGAAAACCGAAUGACAGCGAGAACAAUGCUGCGUUUUAAUUGAUUUGUACUUACACUAGUUUCAGUGCACCUUACUACACAGCAUAGCCAAUUCUACCGAUAUCUCUAGCCCAGUGGGAUUCAUUAAUUCCCUCAUCAAGUAUGUAUUUAAGCUAUAUUAACGAAACUAACUAAUCAAGCAUGCGUUUAAGCUACAAUAACCGAUCAGGCCCCAAUAUUGUUUCUGUUUUAUCCAUAUGGAGAAGGGUCUCUUUUGCUGGUUGAGAGAUUCUCCUUAUCGUCAUAAUAAAUGCCCACAGUUGAACUUCCUAGUGUUACAUCCUAUGGGUCCGAUAAAAUUUCAGGCAAACAUUAUAAAUCAAAUUACUCAAACAACAAAUAUUUUACACUAUGGUACCGGUGUUUCAAAGGACGGCAAAAGAUUUAUCGGAAAUACAAAUAUGAACAUGAUAUAAGAUCAAGACGUAAUAAUACAAUAGCCAAAAUUAAUUUUAAGAGUUCGAACUGAAAUACUGGACUAAAAUAUACAACAAACAGCAACAAAAUAGGAUUCAAGAUGUAGAAGCAUGGUAGAAAAAUGGAUGACGGCUUCUACAUCGGCAUCGAGGUUCGAAAAGAGAAAUAAAAUUUACCACCUUUGGAAUAUCGAUGAAUAUCGCAAACUCAUGUAGCAGAAUGUAUGAACACACGUCUUUUCUCAGGUUAAAUUUGAACGCUAUACAUUGUUUUGUAGAUUUUCCCCAAAACUGCUGUGUAAGGCAUUCGUAUAACAUGUCACAAAAGUGGGUCGCUUCCGGGAAAAGAAGAAUUUCUUGCAGCAGUUCAUGAAUAAAAACGAAAAGUUCUCGCCUAGACUAUGUUUUACAAUUGACUGACAAGUACAGACACAUUAAAACAGUAAACAACUUGAUAAAUAGUCUUUCCAAUGAUUAUCCAUUUUAUGGCUUAUUUGCACUAUAUGGAACCUGUCUGCAAGAAGCAGUGGAGAAUAACUUGAGUUGGCUCAAAAAUGGUUAAAGCAAGAUUAUACACCGAGACAUGCAGAAAGUCUUUGCGUGUUAGUAGUAGGGCUACACUACUAUUUCAAGAAUGUUUUCUGUUCCUCCACAUGUUGUUGUGCUCGUGUAAUAUGUUUGGAAGUGCCUGAGGUAAAGUUGUUAAUCAGCUUCCUUGGAUGUUGUAUAAUACGUUUGGGAUUGUUCAGGAUUUGCGGAUAAGUUGAAAUAACUAGGUAUUCCAAUUGUAGAAGAUAGUCAGUUCGUAUUUUCUAAUAAGAAGAGUUUUAUUCAAAACUCAAGACAAAGAACAAAGGUGUAUAGUAAAGUUGAACAGUAAAGUUACACGAAGUAUAUGCUAUGACUUCAAGAUCACCUUCUGCUGCUGUGCCUUGGGGUCAUAAGCUUAUAUAGAACAUCAAACGAGAUGGGGUUUUUGGUGGGGGUGAACAGUCAGGUCAAGAGGUUU